rnacentral:piRNA from 1 species
UCUUCUUGAACUUCUGGGAUCUGGC